AAUCCAUGGUGUAGGCACUUAGCAUUGAAUUGAAACAUUCUCAUGCUUCGUAAAGGGACUCAUUUUCAUAUUGCUUGAAAUUAGCUAUUUCUCUCCUAAACU
rfam:Gossypium arboreum cultivar AKA8401 contig_23122_1, whole genome shotgun sequence.